AGUGAACGCUGGCGGUAGGCCUAACACAAGCAAGUCGAACGGCAGCACAGUAAGAGCUUGCUCUUACGGGUGGCGAGUGGCGGACGGGUGAGGAAUACAUCGGAAUCUACUUUUUCGUGGGGGAUAACGUAGGGAAACUUACGCUAAUACCGCAUACGACCUACGGGUGAAAGCAGGGGAUCUUCGGACCUUGCGCGAUUGAAUGAGCCGAUGUCGGAUUAGCUAGUUGGCGGGGUAAAGGCCCACCAAGGCGACGAUCCGUAGCUGGUCUGAGAGGAUGAUCAGCCACACUGGAACUGAGACACGGUCCAGACUCCUACGGGAGGUAGCAGUGGGGAAUAUUGGACAAUGGGCGCAAGCCUGAUCUAGCCAUACCGCGUGGGUGAAGAAGGCCUUCGGGUUGUAAAGCCCUUUUGUUGGGAAAGAAAAGCAGCAGGUUAAUACCCCGCUGUUCUGACGGUACCCAAAGAAUAAGCACCGGCUAACUUCGUG
rnacentral:rRNA from 1 species